CGCCGCCCUUUCCGGGAGCGGCCGGGGAGUGGCCGCCGCGGGGCGGGGGGCGCGGGGUCCCCCGGCGCGGGUCUCCGCCCCGGCCCGGCAGCGCUCCCUCGGGCAUGGCCGCCGGGGCUGCGGGUCCGAGGCCGCGGUCGGCCCGGCCGGGGCGGGCGGGAGCCUCGGCAGAGUCGGAGCGCGUUCCGGGCUUGCCGGGCUCAAGGUCACGGCGGGGACGGCGCUCGGUGCCAGGGCCCGGCCUGCGGGACCUUGACCCGGCGCCACCCGAGCGGUGGCCGAGGGCGCGCGCGCGGCCGAGGCCCCAGGCCCUGGCCUCGGCCUCCGGCUUGUCGCGGCGCCCGGAGAAGGCUGCGCGGCCGCGCGAAGCCGCGACGUCUGCAUCCGCAGAUGGCAGUAGAGCUACUACUUAACCUCCGAGGUGGCGAGGAAGAAAUAAAAUAACUCAUCCGGGGUGAUAAGAAACUGAAAUUCAUAUUUUCUUCUUUCCAAAAAGACAGCUGAGGCUGAAGGUGUUCACCCAACAUAUUCACCUAAAGUGCCCAAAGUCACAAAGCUAGUAAAUUGGAGAUUUGGACCUGGGUCUGCCCAGUGCCCCCACUUCCUGCUGGGGCCAAAUGCUCUUGAAACUGAAGCCCAGCCUGUUGGCUCUUGGAUUACUCUCUCAGGCCCCCUGUAUCUUUUGACUGUCUUAACUGUAGGAGUUUUUUGGGACUCAAUCUAGACCCAGUUAAUUCACUGAUUCUACAAAUUUUGAAUGUAUACGAUGUCUUUGAAGCCUUGUGGAACUCAGCACAAUAGCCAUGGUCACUCUCCGCAGGAAGCCAUGGCAGCGGUAAAAAUUCAUAUAGACUUAAAGAUUGAAGUAGGUGGUGUGAGAGAAGAUCAGGGAACCUACCCCGUGAGAUCAUGGAAGGCCUCUCCAGGAAGGUGCCAUUAAGCUGAGACCUGAAGGGUCAGUGUGCAGGAAAGCCCUGACUGGGAAGGAGUAAGGCAUACCAGGAAACUCCAGAAAAGCCUAGGAAGAUGGAAGACAGGUGGAAGGGAGCACGAGCCCUGUGAUUCCAGGCCUUGCAAGCCAUUUUAGAGAGUUUGGAUUUUAUACCAAGAGACAUGGAAGACAUUUAAGGGUAUACAUUCUAGUGUGACAUGAUCUGAUCUAUGUUUUUAACAUAUCAGUCUGAUUUUGGAAAGGAGACAGAAUGGGCAGAUGCUGGUGCCAUUUACUGAAAGUCACUGGUUCCACAGGCAUAUGAGUUCCCACCAUGUGCCAGGCGCUGUUGGGAAAUAUCCGUGCAUAAAGUUGUUGCCAUCUGGGAGCUUGCUCCUAAUUGGGAGGAGGAAGAACAGAUACGGUGUGGGGAGAGGGGAAUCCAGAGCACUUUUGAACCUGGUAAAGUUUGAGAUGGCUGUGAGCUAUUCAAUGGAAAGGCAUUUGGCCUGUUUGAUCUAUUUGACCCUCAAAGGAGAUGUCUGGACUACAGGUUACAUUUGGGAGUUGUUGGUUUAUAGGAAUGCCAAAUGUUGAUAGAUCCGUGGGUUUCAUUAUACUGUAUUGCAUUUAAUUGAAAUUUUUCUUAAUAAAACAUUUUUUAAAACCAUAGGAAUGGAGGAGAUUGCUUGAAGAGUGUGGAUAGAGAAGGGGCUAAGAAACAGGCCCUGAGGUGUGUCAACAUUCACAGGCUAGCCAAAUUAUGGAAAGAACCCAAAUGUCCAUCAACUGAUGAAUGGAUAAAGAAGAUGGAUAGAUAGAUAGAUAAAUAGACAGACAGACAGACACACAGUGGAAUAUUACUCAGGCUUCAAAAAGAAUAAAAUCUUGCCAUUUGCAACAACGUGGAUAGAACUAGAGGGUGUUACGCUAAGCAAAUUAAGUCAGUCAGAGAAAGGCAAAUAUAUAAUUUCACUCAUAUGUGAAAUUUAAGACACACAACAGAUGAACAUAGGGGAAGGGAAGGAAAAAUAAAAUGAGAUAAAAACAGAGGCAAACCAUAAGAGAAUCAAAUAUGGAGAACAAACAGGGCUGGGGGGUGGGCUAGAUGGUUGAUAGACAUUAAGGAGGGCACUUGUUGGGAUGAGCACCGGGUGUUAUAUGUAAGUGAUGAAUCAAAAAAUUCUGCUCCUGAAACCAAUACUACACUAUAUGUUAACUAGCUUGAAUUUAAAUUAAAAAAAAUAGGGGCGCCUGGGUGGCUCAGUCGGUUAAGCAACUGCCUUCGGCUCAGGUCAUGAUCCCAGGGUCCUGGGAUCGAGUCCCACAUCGGGCUCCUGGCUCAGCGGGGAGCCUGCUUCUCCCUCUGACCCUCUCCCCUCUCAUGCUGUUUCUCUCUCGCUCUCUAAAAAAUAAAUAAAUAAAAUCUUUAAAUUAAAAAAAUAAAAGAAGGGAGGGAGGGCAGAAGGAAGGAAGGAAGGAACAUUCAUUCACAGGCUAGAUGUAGGAAGGAGAGGCAGCAAGGGAGACUGGGAAGGAGGAGCCAGCGAGGUCACUCACUGUUUGUGGCAGUGCCCAAGGGGAGGUAUUUCAAGGAGGUGGUGGUCAACUGUGCCAGAUGCUGCUAAAAAGUUAAGAUGACAGAAAACUGGAUUUGCCAACAGGAGUCUGAGUGACCUUGUGAGCGGGAUUUCAGAGGGGAAGGAGGAAGCCUUCCCAGGAGACUUAUUUGCCAGCACCUCUUAGCUCUGCUCAGUGCCAGGCCUGGAGUUCCAGUUGCUUAGUGGACAUUGCUCUAGUGUCCUACUGGUCCUUGAGAUGCCUUUGUACCCAGAAUUUAACUCAUCUUCCUCCUACAGAACCUGCUUGUCCCUCCCGGGUUCUCUCCCCAGAAAUGGUACAUCUUCCAUUUAGUGGCCCCAAACCCACCCCGUCUUGCUCUCUCCCAGCUAGCCAGCUGCCAGAUCUGUCAGUUCUACCUCCAGCACAUCUUGACUCUACCUUCUCUCUCACCAUUCCCCUACCUCAACUCUUGGCAACACUUGUCUGGAGUCCUAUGAAGAGUAAGGACUUGAACCUGUUGGUGAAGGGGACAACUAAAGAAUUCUGAGCAGAACUUUUUCCUAUUAGAAAGAUCUCUAUGACGUGAACUUGGACUGGAUGCUAAUCCCUUUUCUUUCCCAUCCCACCCCACCCUACCCUUGCCAAGAAAAACUAUAAAAGACAUUUUGGGAACAACGGGACAGUUUUUUGUUUCAAUUUUUUUUUUUUUUAAGAUUUUAUUUAUUUGACAGAGGGAGAGUGAGAGCACAAGCAGGGGGAGUGGCAGGGAGAGGGAGAUUCAGGCUCCCUGCUCAGCAGGCUCUAUCCCAGGGCCCCAGGAUCACGACCUGAGCCAAAGGCAGACGCUUAACCAACUGAGCCACCCAGGCAUCCCUGGGGACAGUUUAAUAUAUGAAAUGUAUAUUAGAUAGAAUUAUUCUUUUCCUCGGAUGUGAAAAUCAUAUCAUGGUUUUCUCUUUGUUCUUAGGAGGUGCAUACUGAAGCAUUUAGGGAUAAAGUAUCAUAGGGUCUGUGCUCUGCUUUCAAA